AACGAACGCUGGCGGCGCGUCUUAAGCAUGCAAGUCGAGCGGCAAGGCAGCAAUGCCCUAGAGCGGCGGACUGGUGAGUAACACGUGGGUGAUCUACCUUUAGGUUGGGGAUAGCCAUUAGAAAUAGUGGGUAAUACCGAAUGUGGUUGCGGACUCGAGGGUCCGUAAAGAAAGGAGCUACGGCACCGCCGGAAGAUGAGCCAGCGGCUCAUUAGCUAGUUGGGGGUGUAACGGACCACCAAGGCGAUGAUGAGUAGCCGGCGUGAGAGGGGGAACGGCCACACUGGGACUGAGAUACGGCCCAGACUCCUACGGGAGGCAGCAGCUAAGAAUAUUCCGCAAUGGACGAAAGUCUGACGGAGCGACGCCGCGUGGAUGACGAAGGCCGAAAGGUUGUAAAGUCCUUUUGUCGAUGAAGAAUAAGUGCGGUAGGGAAUGACCGUAUGAUGACGUUAGUCGGCGAAUAAGCCCCGGCUAAUUACGUGCCAGCCGCCGCCGUAACAC
rnacentral:rRNA from 1 species